AUAACGAAGAGUUUGAUCCUAGCUCAGGAUUAACGCUGGCGGUGUGCAUAACACAUGCAAGUCAAGGGGGUCCGACGCAAGUCGGACAACCGGCAAACGGGUGCGUAACACGUUGGAACCUCCCUCGAAGUGGAAGAUAACCCCGCGAAAGCGGGGCUAAUACUCCAUAGUAUCGCAAGAUUAAAGUCUCACGACGCUUCGAGAAGGGCCUGCGGCCUAUCUGCUUGUUGGCGGGGUAAGGGCCCACCAAGGCUUAGACGGGUAGCUGGUUUGAGAGAUCGACCAGCCACAGGGGAACUGAGACACGGUCCCCACUCCUACGGGAGGCAGCAGUGAGGAAUCUUCCGCAAUGGGCGAAAGCCUGACGGAGCAACACCGCGUGAAGGAUGAAGUUUUUCGGAAUGUAAACUUCUUUUCUGAGGGAAGAAUUUUGACGGUACCUUAGGAAUAAGUGACGGCAAACUCUGUGCCAGCAGCCGCGGUAAGACAGAGGUCACGAGCGUUAUCCGGAAUUAUUGGGCGUAAAGGGUGUGUAGGCGGAGCAUUAAGUCGAGGGUUAAAUCUUCCAGCUCAACUGGAAAUCUGUUCUCGAAACUAAUGUUCUUUUGAAGCAUUCAGGGGCAAGUGGAAUUCUGUGUGUAGGGGUAAAAUCCGUAGAUACACGGAGGAACACCAAAAGCGAAAGCAGCUUGCCGGGAAUGUCUUGACGCUGAGACACGAAAGCGUGGGUAGCAAACAGGAUUAGAUACCCUGGUAGUCCACGCUGUAAACUAUGAGAACUCGGUGUGGAGGGAAUCGACCCCCUCCGUGCCUUAGCUAACGCGUUAAGUUCUCCGCCUGGGUAGUACGAUCGCAAGAUUAAAACUCAAAGGAAUAGACGGGGACCCACACAAGCGGUGGAGCAUGUGGU
rnacentral:rRNA from 1 species